UCACAAGGUGCGAUUGAACACGGCUCCAGUGUCUAUGAUAUAUCUCCCAAGAUUUCUUUGUCUAACUGCAGAAUAAAAGCUAUUGGCUCUUCUCUCAAGUCAUGCUCUGAUUUAAUUUCUUUGAAGAUAAAUAAAGAGUGUCACAGCUUCGUCUCUUCUGCGACGUCAGGAGAUCAUUCAUCCGAUGGGUCUUCUCUCCAACAGGCUUCGUCUUCUCCCUCUCUCUUUUGUUUUCCAGAGAACUUGUUUAUCAUCUUACGUUAUCUCACCAAAUUUGUAUAUCUCUUGUGUUAGAACAGGAUCGACAGAUCAAGUUUGAAACAUGGGGAUCAUAUCUACUCCUUGAGGACUGCUUACAUCUAUGCCCAUCACGCUUACACAAACAAGAUACGUAAAGCUGUAUUUCUCUUCCAGUCAAGAAGAUAGACUAGCCAUGGAGAUGGUUGAAUGUCAUUUAAGAUGAAUGACUAACUGCGAUUGACUUUUAGGGAGAUGUAUUCAAAGUGGAA